rnacentral:rRNA from 1 species
AUGAGUAGCUCGCGCUAUCCGGCUGCUGUGGUGGACGAGGGUAAUGCUAAGAUGGCGGUGAGGGAGUGGGUCGGGUGGGAGGAGGAGAUCAUGCUAGAGGACGGCAACGGCGAGGAGCACAAGGUGUGCUACUUCCUCCUCCGCGCGCCACCCCAGGACGGCGGUAAGAGCGAGAGGGAUCUGGCGGUGGUGGGUAAGUAUUGGGGACCUGGGAACAUGCUGUACUCAGCGGACUUGCAGUUCCUGCAAUCCCUCCAGACGGCGCUCAAGUCUGGGUCGGCGUCUGCUAGGGUGGCGACGCUGGCGUUGGAGAUCACUCAGAUCAGGUGGAAGUCUAGGAAAGAGGUCAUGGACUGGCUCACCUCGCUCGUCUCAGAUCCCCCGUAUGGAGCCUUUGGAUUGACUUGUCCCGACUACCAUGAUGGUGCAUCUAAGGAUACCCCCUCAACACUCUCUACUGUUGGGGAAAAUAAAGAAGGGUUCACAUGGAUAUGCAAAUUGCCCCAUCUUGAUCAACGUCGCAAGCACUACAAAUCCUUUUGCCGAGAGGGAAUGAGAAUUUCGGUUCAUGAUUUUGUGUUCAUCAAGAGUGGAGGGAGAGAGAGCCAUGUUGCCUAUGUGGAAGACAUGUACGAAGAUGGCAGUGCCAAGAACAUGGUGCUGGUACGAUGGUUUGAGGAACCUGAUGGUGAGCACGGUGUUGCAUUGCCCCCAGAUCUUUAUUGUAGGGAGAUCUUCUUUGGAUAUGGGCUGCAAGAUCUGAGGGUUGAAUUUGUGGAGGGGGUGGCAGUGGUCCUGAAUCCACAACACUUUGAGAUGUUCAAGAAAAUAAAUGGAGGGUGCAGUAGCUGGCAGCCCUAUGUAUGUCGUCGAUGCAUCGAUGAUGACACUGUCGGGCCCUUUGACAUCGCGCAGCUCCAUGGAUAUGCAAAGCAGGAGAUAGUAAAGGAAAUUGUUGCCGCAUCCUCGUCGACGGUGGAGCAGGCCAAGCCACCUAAUAACAACGGUAAAGCUGCCAUUACUGGUCUGGCCGCCGAGAACCAUGCUGGUUCUUCCAGCACUGUUACCGGUGACAAUACCAUGCAUAAGCAGAAGGAGAAGCCCCCUGCAUGCAGCACAACUCCUUCCAGUUCCAGCUCUGUUAUCAAUGACAAAACCAUGGAGAAGCAGAAGCCUCCUCCAUGCAGCGCAACUACUUCCACUUCCAGCACUGUUAUCGGUGACAACAAAACCAUGGAGAAGCACAAGGAGAUGCCCCCUCCAUGUAGCAUGACUCCACAGAGCACCAUCAAUGGCCAGAUCAUCGAAAGCAGUGUCGUUCCCUGUAGCGUGGUGAACUGUCAGACCAUCGUGCAUAAUCAGCCGCCCCCAAGUGGUACUAGUACGUGUAAUGCAGCAGCCAAUGAUGCGUCAACCAUGGUGAACCCUGAGAAGAUGUUCCAGCCCGGCUGCCGUCUUGAAGCCCUGUCCCAAGACAGCAGCGUGAGGGGUUGUUGGUUCAAAUGUGUGGUACUCAAUAGGAGGGAGAAAGAUAACAAGGUCAUGGUGCGGUACCAAGACCUUCUGAAUUCCGAGGGCAAGGGACAGCUCAGGGAAUGGCUCAAUGUUGCAAGAAUUGCAGAACCUGACCACUUGGGCAUACGCCUUACUAAAAGGCACAUGCUUCGCCCACACCUCCCAAGACACAACAGGAAGAUCGAGUCUCCGGUGGCUGUCGGGGUCAUCGUGGACGCGCGGCUGAAUGGCGGAUGGUGGGAGGGGAUCGUGCUGCAGCAGGAGACUGCUGGCCACGUCCAAGUUUAUCUCCAAGGGGAGGGGAGACUUGUGGAGCUCCGAGUGGAGUGUCUGCGAAAGUCAUUUGAGUGGCAUGAGGAGCAAUGGAUGCCUCUAGAUGCAAGAAAGGAUGUUGCAGCCAAGAUAACCCUUGACCUGAAGAAGCAGCAGGGCGUCCAGCAAUCUGCAAUGAACAAGGGUGGUGAGAGCUCUUCAAAACAGAAGGCUCAGAAGAUGGGUGAGCAGUCUAGCCAGACGGCGGCCGUCGCAGCCGCAGAGCUGGCUGCGCCAACCGCAGGACUGGUGCAGCCUUUGGAGGAAGGUGACGAUGAACCUGCAAACUCUGCUCCUCCACGGAAGAGGUUCCUGGCUCAGGGCUACUCUUUCGAGGAAAAAAGGCUGGAGGAGCAGGCCAAAAAGAUCAAGGGUCCUGUUGAUGAAGCUGCAAAACCAGUCGCAGCGGAGGGAGAUGGCAUGCUCCACGGCGGCGGCUCAGCUGAUGCCAAGCUGUGCCGGGUUGAUCCUACAAACUCUGACAGCCUGAAUGGCGCUGAACGCAAGGGCAAGGCUCGAAAAUCUUCUGGCACAAAGAAAAUGGGGUCUUCGGAGAGCAGCAGCCAUGGAGGCACCAGUGGCUCUGCCUCCAGUGGAGGUGCUGCGCCGGUGAAUCCAGUGCCCAUGGAAAAGAUAUGCGUGACCAAUGGCGAGGCUCCUGUCAUCGCCCUGGACGAAUCGGAGGUGAUCGACCUGACCAUAGAUGACUGA